GAUGAAGAACGUAGCGAAAUGCGAUAAGUAAUGUGAAUUGCAGAAUUCCGUGAAUCAUCGAAUCUUUGAACGCACAUUGCGCCCGCUGGUAUUCCGGCGGGCAUGCCUGUUCGAGCGUCAUUUCAACCCUCAAGCCCCCGGGUUUGGUGUUGGGGAUCGGCUCUGCCCUCUGGGCGGUGCCGCCCCCGAAAUACAUUGGCGGUCUCGCUGCAGCCUCCAUUGCGUAGUAGCUAACACCUCGCAACUGGAACGCGGCGCGGCCAUGCCGUAAAACCCCAACUUCUGAAUGUUGACCUCGGAUCAGGUAGGAAUACCCGCUGAACUUAAGCAUAUCAAUAAGCGGAGGA
rnacentral:misc_RNA from 1 species